AGCGAACGCUGGCGGCAGGCCUAACACAUGCAAGUCGAACGAAGUCUUCGGACUUAGUGGCGGACGGGUGAGUAACACGUGGGAACGUGCCUUUAGGUUCGGAAUAACUCAGGGAAACUUGUGCUAAUACCGAAUGUGCCCUUCGGGGGAAAGAUUUAUCGCCUUUAGAGCGGCCCGCGUCUGAAUAGCUAGUUGGUGGGGUAAUGGCCCACCAAGGCUACGAUCAGUAGCUGGUCUGAGAGGAUGACCAGCCACAUUGGGACUGAGACACGGCCCAAACUCCUACGGGAGGCAGCAGUGGGGAAUCUUGCGCAAUGGGCGAAAGCCUGACGCAGCCAUGCCGCGUGGAUGAUGAAGGUCUUAGGAUUGUAAAAUCCUUUCACCGGUGAAGAUAAUGACUGUAGCCGGAGAAGAAGCCCCGGCUAACUUCGUGCCAGCCGCCGCUGUAAAAC
rnacentral:rRNA from 1 species